GGAAGUAGAUGUUAACAAUAAAAGGCAUGCUAGCAUUAGGAUCUGGGGCUUUUGCCUGCGAAUGGCAUCGGCCCCCUGACCCCCACCUUAUUUCCAAGUCUUCUUUUUCCUUAUUCUUCUGUGGCACCGCUCCCUCAGGUCGGUUCGUUGUUGGACUGGUCCUGACAUUUGGCAGCCAAACAGGGUCCUUAGGGCACAAGUAGCUUUUGAGGCUUUUUUUUGACAGUGCCAGAAGACACGGGGAAUUCCAGCUGGGAGAUCAGAGGACACUGGAAGCAUUUGGUAUUCCAUAUAAUUUUCAAGGCCAGGCUUUUACACACUCAUCGUACUCUUAAAAAUAUGCUAUUUAAAUAGAAAGGGGGAGAAAAGUAUGGCAUAUUGAUGACACCAAAAGAGAAAUUAGCCCAAGCUUUAUUUACUUUAAAGUUUUUGGAUUUAAGAUUGGAUCAUACAACACCAGCAGCAACAUUGCAUUUUCAGAACACCAUUCUUAGUGAAAAUUAUACUCCUGGUCAAAUGAUUGCAGAUAAUACUCCAGUAUGGUGGGAAAAUGCUAUAACAAUUGGUGUAAGGGCCUUAGACUUAAGAAAGGACAAGGUUAUGCUCGUCAUUUCAGAUGAUGGACAACACCACUGAGUACCAGGAAGACAUGUCAAAGAAAGGAAAGAAGAGGACAUAGUUCGACAUCAACCCUCCCGGAGAGCCGCCAGUGAUGGGGAAAACAAGACUGAUGAUCAGCAACCACCCCAAACCGGUUCCAAGGACCAACAAAGCCAAACCACCCACUUGGGGUCAACUGAAGAAAUUGACCAUUGAAGGGGAAGAAUUGGUCAAAGAACAGGGACAGCCUUUGACUUCGGCUACCUUGUUCCUGGCUGUAUUAUCUGUGGUAACCACCACAUCUGGCAGCCAAUCACCAAGAAAGUCGAGGGACAGGACAUGGAAGCAACCUAGAUGUCUAUUGGCAGACGAAUGGAUAAGAAAGCUGUGGUACAUAUACACAAUGGAAUAUUACGCAGCUAUUAAAAUGAAUGCAUUUGAGUCAA